GCCAGGUGUGGUGGCCCACACCUAUAAUUCCAGUAACACAGGAGGCUGAGGCAGGAGGAUUGCAAGUUGGAGGCCAGCCUCAGCAACCCUUAGCAAGGCGCUAAGCAACUCAGUGAGGCCCUGUCUCUA
rnacentral:sRNA from 1 species